rnacentral:rRNA from 1 species
CAACCUGCCGCUUACUCGGGGAUAGCCUUUCGAAAGAAAGAUUAAUACCCGAUGGUAUAAAGAGUUCGCAUGUUCUCUUUAUUAAAGAAUUUCGGUAAGCGAUGGGGAUGCGUUCCAUUAGAUAGUUGGCGGGGUAACGGCCCACCAAGUCUACGAUGGAUAGGGGUUCUGAGAGGAAGGUCCCCCACAUUGGAACUGAGACACGGUCCAAACUCCUACGGGAGGCAGCAGUGAGGAAUAUUGGUCAAUGGACGAGAGUCUGAACCAGCCAAGUAGCGUGAAGGAUGACUGCCCUAUGGGUUGUAAACUUCUUUUAUAAGGGAAUAAAGUGAGGGACGUGUCCCUUUUUGUAUGUACCUUAUGAAUAAGGAUCGGCUAACUCCGUGCCAGCAGCCGCGGUAAUACGGAGGAUCCGAGCGUUAUCCGGAUUUAUUGGGUUUAAAGGGAGCGUAGGUUGACGUAUAAGUCAGCUGUGAAGGUUUACGGCUCAACCGUGAAAUUGCAGUUGAUACUGUUUGUCUUGAGUGUACAAGAGGUGGGCGGAAUUCGUGGUGUAGCGGUGAAAUGCUUAGAUAUCACGAAGAACUCCGAUUG